rnacentral:tRNA from 1 species
GUCCUGGUAGUAUAAAGUUAUUACUCUGGUCUUGUAAACCAGAAAUGGAAAUCUCAAUUUUCCCCAGGACA